CAUAAAUUAGUUUAUAGAAAAUAUUUCAUUUACAUUGAGUUGAUUAGAGUGCGAAUCUCUUGUUUUUGA
rnacentral:tRNA from 1 species